CAGUUCAUUUGCCGUUGGGAGACCUAAGUGUGAACAUGGAUUCUAUCAGCGAACAAGAACACCAAGAUGAAAUCUUCGUCCGAAACGAUCUCAUCGUAGUUCACUGUGUAGAUACAAGCUACUCAUUUUCUCUUACAGUACCUAGUCUACCUUUCUUAGCAAUCAGUGUCGUAUACUGUCAUUUCAGCUUCGCAAAUUCGCCAUUUGAGAGGCGAAUGCUUUUGAUUCCGGACUGUCCUAAUUUACUUCGCAAGUUGGUAGUUUCUUGGUGUUCGGAGCACAGGACCAAAAUCACAAUGGAACAAAAGCCAAAAACAAAGACCUUAGAACGAGACAAUGAAAUAGAGUACAAAGGCCUUGAGCACCCAAAACAAAGCUCCCGUAACACCAAGGAAUACACCGCAAGUUUGAAUUCGCUGAUUCACUUUGCUCUGUAAAAGUUUUAAAUCAGUUAUUCACUUGAUCUAGACGUUUCUUGUAGAAGAAGUAAGCUUAAAGUAAGCUAAGUUCAAGUUAGAUAUUUAUGCCGUAGUGUAUGAAUCGACUCUUUCUAAAAUGUCCUCUAAGCAAAACAAUGCUGACGAAAUAUAAGACCAAACUGUUAUAUUUGUCUAUUUAUAAGUCUAUCAUAUAGUCUUUGGUUUUGUGGUAAAAUCAGUUUGCUUGUAUUAAAAAAAAACAGUGUGAUCCUGCCGAAGUUGUUGAUGAAGACAGAGAGGUCUUGCUUUUUUGGGACUUCACAAUAAUUGACGAUGCAAACGUCGACGUCUCUGCCCCUCAAAAUCCAAACUAUGAAGAGCUGGAGUUUGCCCCACGACUGAAUUGGGAAACAGUGGAUUGUAACUGCUCUAAAUAUCCAAAUCCUGGUCCUGUUCUUUUGGCUGUCGAUCCCGUGGCUGAGUCAACAGACAAUGGCAACAGCCUAACACUGAUUCAGCUGAGUGUGUUAAUAAUGACGAUGAGUCUUCUGAUAGUGAACAAGAAUAUUUAUUAGAAGACUGGGAAGAUGAGCUGGAUGAAGAGGGUCUAACUCAUACUAUACCCUUUAAAUGUAUUGGAGCUGCUCAUGAAAAAACAAGACAGCCAAACCUGCAACUAGCCAAGGGGAUAAUUCAAAGGGGAGAAAGGGUACAAUGUAGAUUACGGCCCGAGCCUCAAAAUGAGCAAGAGAAAGAUGCUAUUGCUAUAGAUAUAGACUAUGGCUGUGGAUGGAAGCACGUAGGAUAUAUAGCAAGAGAGUUGACGAAGUACAUUCAUCCGCUUAUAAAUGAAAACAAUAUAGUUUCUGUAUCUGUACAACAUAUUAAAUUCCGUGUUUAUUUUCUUAAAA